AUAAGUUCAAAAGAUGACUUAAAUAAAACUUAUACCUUUUCUCAAUUCUUUAUGUGCUAAAUCUCUUAUAAAAUAAAGAUAAAAUGAGACUAAACUAUCUUUAAGAUCUAAGAUCCUUCCAAUCCAUAGCAAUAUAAAUUCUGUCACAAUGUAGAAUAUUAUAGAUCAAAAUAAAACUAAACAAAACUAUAUAAUACAGAAUAUGAAAGGUAGAACAAAGUAAAAGAGAAUAGAAUAGAAUCAAAUAAAAAAGUGUAAAACCAAAAUUUACUAAGCAAAAGAGUUUGAAGCUAUAUGUAACCAAAUAUUCCAAAUGGCCAUGGCCAAUCCUAUUUAUAUUUUGUCCUACCAUCUUAGAAUCUUUUAGAAUAUUUAUAAUAGUAGGCCCUACCUAAAUAACUUCUUUAAGUCCUUUUCUAGAAUAUUCCAUGGUACAUCCUAUAUAGACUAUUAAUCUAGUUCCGAUUCUAAAAACUUCUAAAAACUUUCCAAACAUGGCUCU
rnacentral:lncRNA from 1 species